rnacentral:misc_RNA from 1 species
CGGUUCGAGUCCGCUUACCUCCACUGAUCAACUACCUGAUAACUCAAAUUGGAGAUUGUCAUUUGUUAAAUGUGAUUUAGAUGUUGUUCAUCUGAAGGAACCUAGCUUCCUAUCACUCCUGAAAUAAUUUUAGGCUGAUAAGACGCUGGGCUCACUGAAUGUUCUAAGAGCAUUCAGUUUGUUUCAGCA